rnacentral:lncRNA from 1 species
CGUCAUCUUCGACACCGGGAGCGACGUCACGUGGAUCCAGUGCCAGCCCUGCGUCGUCACCUGCUACCAGCAACAAGACCCAAUCUUCGACCCAUCCCACUCCUCCACGUACCUCAACAUCUCCUGCAGCUCCGCCUACUGCACCGACCUCGGCGCCUCCGGUUGCAGCUCGUCCACUUGCGUUUACGGGGUCCAGUACGGGGAUAACUCCUACACGGUGGGGUUCUACGCGGAAGACACGCUCUGGCUGACGCCCUACGACGUCAUCCCCAACUUCCGAUUUGGGUGCGGCGAGCGGAACGACGGCCUCUUCGGCAAGGCCGCCGGCCUGAUCGGUCUCGGCCGCGACAAGCCGUCCUUUGUCUCUCAGACGUAUCAAAGGUACGGUGGAGUCUUUACCUACUGCUUGCCACCGACCUCGAGCUCGACAGGCUACUUGAGAUUCGGUGGUGGUUACCCCUCCUCCGAUCUCCGGUUCACCCCGAUGCUGUCGGGCGCAAGCUCGCCGACGUUCUACUACCUUACUCUAACGGCUAUAAGCGUUGGCGGUCAGCAACUGUUGGUAC